rnacentral:rRNA from 1 species
CGUGUAGGCGGACUGACAAGUCGGACGUGAAAGCCCUGGGCUCAACCCAGGAACUGCAUCCGAAACUGUCAGCCUGGAGUGGUGGAGAGGGAAGCAGAAUUCCUGGUGUAGAGGUGAAAUUCGUAGAUAUCAGGAGGAACACCGGUGGCGAAGGCGGCUUCCUGGACACUUACUGACGCUGAGACGCGAAAGCGUGGGAGCAAACA